GACGAACGCUGGCGGCGUGCUUAACACAUGCAAGUCGAACGGAAAGGCCCUGCUUUUGUGGGGUGCUCGAGUGGCGAACGGGUGAGUAACACGUGAGUAACCUGCCCUUGACUUUGGGAUAACUUCAGGAAACUGGGGCUAAUACCGGAUAGGAGCUCCUGCUGCAUGGUGGGGGUUGGAAAGUUUCGGCGGUUGGGGAUGGACUCGCGGCUUAUCAGCUUGUUGGUGGGGUAGUGGCUUACCAAGGCUUUGACGGGUAGCCGGCCUGAGAUGGUGACCGGCCACAUUGGGACUGAGAUACGGCCCAGACUCCUACGGGAGGCAGCAGUGGGGAAUAUUGCACAAUGGGCGGAAGCCUGAUGCAGCAACGCCGCGUGCGGGAUGACGGCCUUCGGGUUGUAAACCGCUUUCGCCUGUGACGAAGCGUGAGUGGCGGUAAUGGGUAAAGAAGCACCGGCUAACUACGUG
rnacentral:rRNA from 1 species